rnacentral:rRNA from 1 species
ACGGGCGGGGCGAGCGUUGUUCGGAUUCAUUGGGUGUAAAGGGUGCGAAGGCGGUCGUCUAAGUCGAAGGUGAAAUGUCUACGGCUCAACCGAGGCAUUGCCUCCGAUACUGGACGACUUGAGUGCGGAAGGGGAGCGUGGAAUUCCUGGUGUAGCGGUGAAAUGCGUAGAUAUCAGGAGGAACACCGGUGGCGAAGGCGACGCGCUGGGCCUGACCUGACGCUAAGACGCGAGAGCAUGGGGAGCGAACGG